CCCGGUCCCAUUCCGAACCCGGAAGUUAAGCCUCUCAGCGUCGAUGGUACUGCAAGGGUGACCUUGUGGGAGAGUAGAACGUCGCCGGAC
rnacentral:rRNA from 1 species